CGCGGGAUAGAGCAGUUUGGUAGCUCGUCGGGCUCAUAACCCGAAGGUCGUAGGUUCGAAUCCUUCUCCCGCAA
rnacentral:tRNA from 1 species